rnacentral:rRNA from 1 species
GCCAUGCAUGUCUAAGUAUAAACGAUUUAAUCGUGAAACCGCGAAUGGCUCAUUAUAACAGCUAUAAUUUACUUGAUCUUGACACAAUCCUACUUGGAUAACUGUGGUAAUUCUAGAGCUAAUACAUGCAUUAAAGCUCUGACCUCACGGGAAGAGUGCAUUUAUUAGAACAAAACCAAGCGGCUUCGGCUGUUUCUGGUUGACUCAUAGUAACUGAGCUGAUCGCAUGGUCUUGCACCGGCGACGUGUCUUUCAAGUAUCUGCCGUAUCAACUUUCGAUGGUAGUGUAUCUGACUACCAUGGUGAUCACGCGUAACGGAGAAUAAGGGUUCGGCUCCGGAGAGUUCGCCUGAGAAAUCGCGAACACAUCUAAGGAAGGCAGCAGGCGCGAAAAUUACCCACUCUCAGCACGAGGAGGUAGUGACGAAAAAUAACGAGACCGUUCUCUUAUGAGGCCGGUCAUCGGAAUGGGUACAAUUUAAACCCUUUAACGAGUAUCUAUAGAU